GCCGGCUAGAAGGCGGUGCUGGCGGGAGGCAGUAGACCCGGCCCGGGCCGCAGAAGGGAUGAGAAGGCGCAGCCGGUACCGAGGGCGCGAUCAAUGAGCCAUGCCAGUGAUUAAAUGCAACGCCUGCCCCCGAUCGGUGCUGAGAUUAAGAAGGCACCUAGCAUAUGGGCUAGGUAUUGUUCGCAUCUCCUUCUAUCCCACGCCCCCUCCCCCGACCUGCCACCCGCGAGGUAGGAGUUCCCAUCCUUUCCUCAGGGAAAGCCGAGACGGCAAGUGCUGGCCCAGAGGCCGACUCCACAAGGCUGAGGCAAGUUCUUUCCUCCGUUCCGUACGGGAGCACUUUAACCAACAAUGAAAUAAUCUUCACUUCUAGGAGAAGGUACAUCAUCUGGAAUCAGGGAGAAGAGACUCUCACCCCGACUCCUAACUGGGGCCUUCAACCCCAGGAGUCACACCAGGAACCCAUUUCAAAAGAGGAAUGCUUGCAUCUCUCUGCUAAGGAGGGCCUCUGUGCCCUGGGAGCUCCGCCCACCAGGCACACAGCACUCAGCACUCUAUCCAUGAGCAGGCCCUUCCGCAGACACUGCAGCUGAAGAUCUGGCUCCUCCAUCCCCUACGCCACCUCACGGAACUGAGACUGUCUCCAGGGCAGCCCCUGGACACCCCUGGCCCAAGAGGGGUCUCUACAAUCAUCAUUCCCAGCUUCUCUCUACCUUCAAAGAAGGUUCUCAAGCCCUCCCCGGGCCGCUCCUCACCUGCCGAUGAUGCUCUUGAUCUGGGAGUCCUUCUCCACCUGCUGCUGCCGUAGCCUCUUCUCGCUCUGCUCCAGCCGGGCCUGAUACUGCAUCAGGAUUUUGCUGGUCUGCUCUUCCUGGGACAGCAAUCUCCGCUCAUACUCCUCCAGCUUCCGGUUGGACAUGUGCAGCCGCUCCUUCAGCGAGUGGAUCUCCUCCUCAUACUCCUUCACCUGCCCGCCGGGCACACGACCCCGCACUGUGAGGGGGGCUGGGCCUGACCGUGCACCCAGCCUCUACCCUGCCUGCUAAGCACAGCACCUUGUGGUGAGGGAUCCUCACCAGUCUCCUCCAGCCCUUCCCUGGCUCUUGAUCUGCCCCCCCACCUCUCUCUCACACACACACUUUUAAGAAAGUCCUCACAUGGGGCUGAGGCUCUGUCAAGACGUAACAAGACCAUGGACUCCCCCAUCCUAGAGGUAUACACAUGCCCUCACACGUGCACCUGGACACAGGAAAACCAACACAGAAGCCUAGACAGACUCAUGGACACAGGUGGAAGGCAUUUUGUCCUUGGUUUGUUAAAUGGUGCUGGAAAUAAUUUAUAAUAAGGCCUAAAGAUAUUCUCUUAGCUCAAGACUAUCUACAUCAAUCCCAACAUUUUUCUUUGCUCAGACUACUUCUCCCCAAAAACCUCUCUGCUCCCCAGGUUGGAAUCAUGUAUCCUG